AAGAAACCAUGCUGAACACAUUCCUUAGUGUAGCUGUAUGCAUAAUUAUAUUUUCAGCUGAAUGUCUUGGUAAUACUGUUCUCCAGAUGCCUGACAACCUCAUCAAGAAUCAAGAUGAAUCUACUGUGAUCAUCUGUACUCACAAUAUACCAAGCUAUUACAGAAUAUUAUGGUACAAACAAAGUCCAGAGAUGUUGGGUUUCAAGUUGAUGGGAUUUCUUGAAUAUGGUACUGAGAACAAAGAGCCUGAAUUUAAAGACAAGAUCAAACUGGAUGGAGAUGGACAGAAUAAUGGUUCUCUGAUUAUCAGCAACCUCUCACCGAAUGACAGUGCAGUGUAUUUCUGUGCAGCAUAUUACACAGUGCUCAGAGUCACCUCUGUCUGAUACAAAAACCUCU